AACGAACGCUGGCGGCAUGCCUAACACAUGCAAGUCGAACGAGACCUUCGGGUCUAGUGGCGCACGGGUGCGUAACGCGUGGGAACCUGCCCUUAGGUUCGGAAUAACUCCCCGAAAGGGGUGCUAAUACCGGAUAAUGUCUUCGGACCAAAGAUUUAUCGCCUUUGGUUGGGCCCGCGUUGGAUUAGCUAGUUGGUAGGGUAAAAGCCUACCAAGGCGACGAUCCAUAGCUGGUCUGAGAGGAUGAUCAGCCACACUGGGACUGAGACACGGCCCAGACUCCUACGGGAGGCAGCAGUGGGGAAUAUUGGACAAUGGGCGAAAGCCUGAUCCAGCAAUGCCGGGUGAGUGAUGAAGGCCUUAGGGUUGUAAAGCUCUUUUACCCGGGAUGAUAAUGACAGUACCGGGAGAAUAAGCUCCGGCUAACUCCGUG
rnacentral:rRNA from 1 species